rnacentral:rRNA from 1 species
UAAGGAAUAUUGGUCAAUGGACGCAAGUCUGAACCAGCCAUGCCGCGUGAAGGAUGACGGCCCUCUGGGUUGUAAACUUCUUUUAUGGGGGGAGAAAAAAGGGUUUUUUAACUCGUCUGACGGUACCCUAUGAAUAAGCACCGGCUAACUCCGUGCCAGCAGCCGCGGUAAUACGGAGGGUGCAAGCGUUAUCCGGAUUCACUGGGUUUAAAGGGAGCGCAGGCGGAUUUGUAAGUCAGUGGUGAAAGGCUUAAGCUUAACUUGGGAACUGCCAUUGAUACUAUAAGUCUUGAAUGUUGUUGAGGUUUGCGGAAUGGGUCAUGUAGCGGUGAAAUGCAUAGAUAUGACCCGGAACACCUAUUGCGAAGGCAGCAGGCUAAACAAAUAUUGACGCUGAGGCUCGAAAGCGUGGGGAUCAAACAG